rnacentral:lncRNA from 1 species
UGGCUGAAUCCUGUGAGCACUUGCUUUCUCUUGCAGCCCUGUCCCUCACUAGCAUUCCUUGAAAGGCCACAUCUGAAAAUUAUCCUAAGGAUUAUUCCAUCCAGGAGCAGAUCUUGUUUCCUAUUAAAUGAGCAGCAUCUGUCCAACCUAAGAGAUGGCUUUCAAACAGCAGAAGAGCAGAAAUUGUUCUUGGCUGUCCUAAGGUGUCACCAGCCUUCA